UACGAAGGUCCCAAGCGUUAUCCGGAUUUAUUGGGUUUAAAGGGUGCGUAGGCGGCUUAUUAAGUCAGUGGUGAAAGCCUUCAGCUUAACUGAAGAACUGCCAUUGAUACUGAUGAUCUUGAGUAUGAUUGAGGUGGGCGGAAUGUGUCAUGUAGCGGUGAAAUGCUUAGAUAUGACACAGAACACCGAUUGCGAAGGCAGCUCACUAAGUCAUAACUGACGCUGAGGCACGAAAGCGUGGGGAGCAAACAGG
rnacentral:rRNA from 1 species